rnacentral:rRNA from 1 species
UACGGAGGGUGCAAGCGUUGUCCGGAAUCACUGGGCGUAAAGGGCGCGUAGGCGGCUCUCUAAGUCACUUGUGAAAUCCUGGGGCUCAACUCCAGGGCUGCAGGUGAGACUGGAGGGCUAGAGCUCGGUAGAGGCGAGUGGAAUUCCCGGUGUAGCGGUGGAAUGCGUAGAUAUCGGGAAGAACACCGGUGGCGAAGGCGGCUCGCUGGGCCGAUGCUGACGCUGAUGCGCGAAAGCGUGGGGAGCAAACAGG